CUAAAUUUAGAGCUGCAGCUCUGGAUCUGUUAACGUAUGAUGUAAAAAUAGCAAAGGAGGGAAGCCGGCUCGCAACACGGCAGACAUACAGGACAGACUGUGAGUGUGAGCAAGUAAAUUUUAACUGCAGAAACAGAGUGAAGACGUGGAGAGACACAGAGACAGAUAUACGGCGAGACACACAAGUCAGGUCAGCAGCUGUAACGAUCAGAGACAGACAGGCCCAGAGAUAGACACACAGUGGACACAUAGCAGCACAGCAGCCCACAAUAUAGCUAUAAAGACACACUGACAUCAGCAUGUUGUCAAAAAAGGACGAUAAGAGGAGGUUCAGCAAUGGGCCUCUGAGAGACCAGUGGGAGAAGAGAGCCCAGGUCGAGGCGGACCAGUGCAAACAGGAGGCUGAGUGGAAGGAGAAAAGCUCCGUCAAAGUAAACUUCUCAAAGUGGACGUAUCACUUUUCCAAUUUAGACAAGAUGAAAGGUGAAAUAUCUGAAUUCAAGAGGGUCACCAGCCGCAUGGAUGAAAAUGAAAACAAGCCCAAAAUCAAAUUCAAAAUAGUCCCUCCUCCUCCCAAAUCUAAACCUGAGCCUCCACCGCCACCACCGCCACCCAAAAAACCAGCUUCACCAAAACUUCGGAGACAGAAACGCACUGUAGAGGUGGACGUGUUCCGGCUGUGCUGGAGGGAGUCCUGGAUGAGUCUAAAGCCUCCAAAGUAUCUUUUCCUAAAGGCUAAUGAGAGCAAGCCCAAAACCCACGGGUUCACAGCCAUAGAGGUGACUGAGAACAGGAAGUACAAAGCAGACAGGUGCGCAUCGGACGCUGAAUGGAUGCCUGCUGAGAGGUGGAGUCAGUCCUGGGAACAGGUAAAAAGUCCAGCCCAGUUUGAGGCUCCUGAGGUGAAGCCAUUCCAGUGGGGCGUACUGGUUGAAACACAUCUGGUUUACAAAGCUAACAUAGAGGUGUAUUCUCUUCCUGUCUGGGCGGGCACCUGGAAGAUCAUGAACUUUCCCUUCAGACAGCAGAAAAAGAACUGGGACUGCGGCUGGCCUGACUACCAACAACCAGUCAGCAACAAGUUAGAGAAAAUACAGCAGCUGGAGGAGGAGGAGGAAGAGCCAGAAGGCUGGGAGGACUCAUGGAAACUUUCUGGGUCAGAUCUUGUAACAGAAGACACUGCAGAUGAUGAUGAAGAAUUUACUGAAAGCUCCUAUGAUGGCACAGAUGAUGAGACAUUAAGUGAAAGUUCCUACAGCACCUACACCACAGAUGAUGAUGCACUGAGUGAAAGCUCCUACAGCAAAGACAAAGACAGCACGAUGAGGAUACAUGAUAUGUUCAUGCCAGGAUGGAGCAACUCCUGGAUGCUCUCUGCGGCUCCUCCAGAGGAGAAUGAGGAGCGACGAAAGAGCUGGAGCUCCUGCUGGGGAUACAGGCAGCAGAUCAGGUGGUGCAUGCCCUCAAUUCAGGCCCAUCAACAGCACAGUGCCAUGCUGACAAGAAGACGUAGAACUACAAACCUCCUCCUCACCUCAGAGCUGGAGAACGACGCCAUCAACAGGCCAGAGUGGAAGGAGGCCUGGAAGGUGCCUAGAGGAAGGGCUAAACCAGAAGAAGAGGAGGAGGAGGUGGAGGAAGAAGAAGAAGAGGAAGAAGAGAGGGAAGCAAGCACGGAUGACACAAAGGAAGAAGCAAAUGACAGAGUGGAAAAUGAGGAGGAUGACAAAGUAGAUGAUGAGGAUGAUGAAGGAGUAGAAGAGGAGGAGGAGGAGGAGGAGGGCGCUGUCAACAAAUAUGAAGAGGAUGAAGACAUACAAGAGGAGGAGAGCGACAAAAUCCAGGAAAAUAGAGAGGCUGAGGAGGAGGAUGAAGGAGUAGAAGAGGAGGAGGAAGAAGAAGCUAAUGUUGAGAAGGACACAGAAGUAGAAGACCAGGAGGAAGAUGAGGAAGAGGAGGACAAAGAUGUAGAUAAGACAGAGAGGGAAAGGGGAGAGGAGCAGGCGGAGGAGGAGGAAGAGGAGGAGGAGGAGGAGGAAGAAGAGGAGGAUGAAGAGGAUAACAAAUCAGAGAAGCGGGAGAAGGAUGAAGACAUAGAUGUGGAAAACAAGGAAGAAGAAGAUGAGGAGGAGGAGGAGGAGGAGGAGGAGGAGGAGGAGGAGGAGGAGGAGGAGGAGAGGAAAGAAGAAGAGCAGAGAGAAAAUGAUGUAAGCAAGGAAGAAAAGGAGGCUAACAUUGAUGAUCAGAAGGACGAGGAGGAAGAAGAGGAGGAAGAGGAUAACGAAUCAGAGAAGAGGGAGAAGGAUGAGGACAUAGAUGAGGAGAACAAGGAAGAAGAAGAUGAGCAUGAGCAUGCAAAAGAAACAGACAAGAUAAAACUAGUAGAUAAAGACGAAGAUGAGGAGGACGAGGAGGAUGAGAAUGAAGUAAACAAAGAGGAAGAAAAACAGAAGACUGACAAUGAUCAAGACACAGACAAGAAGGAAGAGGAGGAGGAGGAGGAGAAACUUGAAAAUGGUGAAGAAGAGGAGGAUGAGGAUGUGGAUGAAGAAGAAGAAGACGAUGAAUUUGUAGAUGCAAAGGAAGACUUGGAUGUGACAACUAAUUUUGAUGAAAAGGAUAAAAAUGAAGAGGAGGAAGAGGAGGAAGAGGAGGAGGAGGAAGCAGACAAAGACCAAGAGAAAGAAAAAGAGGAGGAAGAUGUAAAAGUACAGCAGGAAAAUAAAGAGGAAGACGAUGAGGAGGAGGAGGAUGAAGAGAAAGAAGCACACAAAGAACUGGAGGAUGAAGAGGAUGAGGAGGAAGAUGGAAGCGAGCAGGAGGAAGAAGAAGAAGAAGAACAAGAGGAUGGAGAAGUGGAUGAGGGCAAAAAAGUAGACAGCAAGGAAGAGGAAGAGGAAAACACAGACAAAGAUGGAGAAGAGGAGGAUGAAGAGUUGGACGAGGAAGGGGAUGAUGAAACACAUAAUAGGGAUAACAAGGAAGAUGAUAAAGUAGAUGUUGAGGAGGAGGAGGAGGAGGAAAAUGAUGAAGAUCAAGAUAAGGAAGAAGAAAAGGAAAAAGGAGACACAAACCAGGAUGAAGAAGAUGAAGCAGUGGAUGAUGAAGAGGAAGAUGAUGAAACAUGCAUGAAAGACAGAAAGAAAGACAAGAAACAGGAGGAAGAAAAUGUAGGUAGAGAAGAGGAGGAGGACGAGGACAAAGAGGACCAGGAGGACGAGGAGGAUGAGGAGGAUGAAGAGGCCGGAAAGGACGAGGAGGACGCAGAGGAAGAGACAGGUGAAGCUGACAUGGAAGCAGAGGUGACAUUAGAAAAGAUCACAGAAAAAGACACGAAGGAAAAGAAGUUAAAGAGACGAGUCAGGCGUAAACCAGGCGCCCCGCUCCACCUGCAGUUCCACAAACUGAACGCCUCCUUCACCUCCUGGAAGCAGUCGUGGAAGGUGGCCGUGGCUCACAGAGUAGGAGACGAAGAUGAGGAGGAGGAAGAGGAAGAGGGGCAGGAGGAAGUGGAGCUGCGGGCUUGGAAGGAGUCCUGGAGGAUUUGUCGCUGGAAGAAGCCGGACCAGGACGAGGUGGUGUGUUUCUCCUCAGAGCACCGCAGUCAGAGGUACAUGGGACUGAUGCACGAGGAGGACGGCAUGCCGCAGAGCGAGUGGACGCUCAGCUGGAGAAUGAACACAAAGGACAAAGGCACAGAAGAAGAAGAAGAGGAGGAGGAGGAGGAGGAAGAAGAGGAAGACGAGGAAGAGGAAGAUGAAGAAGAAGAAGACAAAUAAGAAGAACUAUUUCCAGGUUGCCUUGUGAAUGUGUAGGCUAUAAAGCUCCUGUGCUCCUCUGACCUGUGCUGGACAUUUGACUUGAAAACCGCUUUGUGAUUACUGAUAACAUUUUGUAAUUUAUUUUUAAAACAACAGAAAAAUGUUGUGUUAUGACAUAAUUCACAGUUUUACAGUGCAGUUUGUUAAACCAGGCAUCAGCAGCCACAACCGUGUACCAGACAAAUGGAAUGAUAGAGUGUGUUGUUUUUUAAUUGUUUUUCUAAGAGCUGAAAUGUGUUGAUUUAGUUUAGAUGAAUAAACAGAAGGAUUUUGUAAAUAUUCUAUCUCA
ensembl:lncRNA golgin subfamily A member 6-like protein 22